rnacentral:lncRNA from 1 species
GACCUCAUCAUUGCGGAAAACUCAGAGAGCUCUUUGAUCGGCCCGAGGGCAAUCGUUGCAGAGCCUUACGCGAGUGGAGAGAUCGCCUGUGAAGAGAUUGAUUUACGAUGAAGACGUGCUAACAUAACAGAUCAGGACUGCGAGCUCAGAGAACGGAUUCAGCAGGUUCAACAGGUAAGCAGGUCACACCUCCAAAUGCAUGACAUAUAUUUUAUUUGAAUGUUUUGCAAAUUAAGAAAUU